rnacentral:lncRNA from 1 species
GCUUGAACCCACUGUAGUAGCUUGAACCCACUGUAGUAGCUUGAACCCACUGUAGUAGCUUGAACCCACUGUAGUAGCUUGAACCCACUGUAGUAGCUUGAACCCACUGUAGUAGCUUGAACCCACUGUAGUAGCUUGAACCCACUGUAGCUUGAACCCACUGUAGUAGCUUGAACCCACUGUAGUAGCUUGAACCCACUGUAGUAGCUUGAACCCACUGUAGUAGCUUGAACCCACUGUAGUAGCUUGAACCCACUGUAGCUUGAACCCACUGUAGUAGCUUGAACCCACUGUAGUAG